GUGGUCACUUCAGCAGCACAUAUACUAAGACUGAAAUGAUACAGACAAAAUUAGCACAGCCGCUGCUCAAGGGUGACAUGUGAAUAUCACGUACUCCACAUUUUU
ensembl:snRNA U6 U6 spliceosomal RNA